GGAAGCACGUCCUACCGAGCAGCACAGAUAGAGAAAGUUGGGCGGACCCGGGGCUGUCCUCAGAGUGCAGCAAGGCCCUGCUAUAGAAACCGGCCCCGUCCCCACCCUCUGCAGCGCUGCACACACCCUGUUUGUCACCCCCAAUAUCAGGCCCGCGCCGCGGAUGCCUUCUCUGCAAGCACCACUGUCAGCCCAUGGUAGAGAUCAACAAAUGAGGCCCGAAGAAGCCGGAGACAUGCUCUUUCCCAUGGAAGCAGGUUUCCCAGUGGACUUUCUCAGUCUAUGCCCCAAGGUUGCCCCACAGGCGAAGGGCAUCCGGCAACUUAGAGCCCUCCAGGUCUACCCGCAGGUGCACGGAGCUGAGUCACCGCCUGGGAUUUAUUGUGCGGGGCUGGGACGGAGAAGGCUUGAAGAAACGCUGAGCCUUACCCAGGGCACCCACUGCCACACCUAGCCUAGCUUUCCUGUUGGGUAAGGUCCAGGGCAGUUCCCUGCCCCAGGACACUUCUCUAACCACAGCAGCUCUGCCCCUGGGCCCUCCUGUCCCUGAUCCUUUUUGUGAGAGUUUGUAGCCCUGUCAGUGGCCUGGAGGAAGUGCACUGCGGGUGUCUGUGUCUUGGGGUGUUGUGUACAUCUCUGGGCAGCAUUCAUGGGCCUGGGUUUUGUGUGUGUGUUCACGUGUGUCCUGCUCUAACCCCUCCUCUGGCCUUUCCCCUGUCCCUAGCACUCCAUGCACACCUCCGUCCCUUGCCAGGGAGCGACAGUAUCAAGGGGAGCUUGCACCCUGAGUGGCUGCAGAAUAUGCUCUUGGAGGGCACAGGAGCCAGACGGGAAGUGGCAGCUCCUGGCAGGUCCCAUCCCAGCUAUUUGAGGGGGACUAUGUUAGCCGUAUUUCACCAGGAGGCUGAGGCUCAGAGAGGAUGGCUGUGAAGGGGCUGGAGUGAACAGAGUGGGGAAGGUGACCCACAGGGACAGGGUGAGAUUUUGGCGCCAUAGUCAGGGAAAGCAGAAUCCAGGUGCCUGGUGAGUAGACGGUCAGUGUCAGCUGCUGUGUGGUUAUUCUCAGAACUACCAGCACCACUGCCAUGAACACACACUGCCCAUGAGCAGGGGGUAGUCACCAGGGGGUGGGUGUCCGCAUACCUAGGCAAGGCAGGCCAGCACCUUGCAUCCGGUACCCCCUGGGGCAGCCGCAGCGGUGACUGCCCAGGGUGUUCUCACAGAGCUGGUUGUAGUGACACUCAUCCAGUCCCUCCUGGCAUUCAUCCACAUCUGGGAGGCAGGGGCGUCAUCAGGGAGCGUGGCCUAGUUCAGAGGCCCUCACCUCAAAGAUGUGCUAUCUCUCUCCACAUUUGGGCCCCCUCCCUGUCCCCUCCUUUAAUUUCCAUGCCACUAGUCUGAACGUGUCACUGCUUUCAAUUAUACCAGCUAGGAGGCAAAGAGGGUUUGGGUAUAAAAAGAGGCUUUGGAGGCAGUGUCCCAGGUUGCACAGAGCUCUGCCAUAUUCCAGGCCUGCAGUGGUCGUCGCAGUGAGGAGAGGAUUGGAUAGGGCCUAUGAAGGGCUGGGGGGCAAGGUGUAGGGGAAGAGCUAAAAAACAGAGAGAGGGAAGGGAGGGGGCAGGCGGCCGGCUGAGCCCGAUUUGGUCAGGUUGCCCUGCUGAUCGAGGCUUGUGGAGGUGCAAUGGUGCAUCCUCCCCGUCAGGCCCUGUCGCACUUCCUUCUCCCCAGCACAGCCUCUCCAGAGCAGCCAGGCAAACCCGCAAUUGUGACACCAUAGUUUGCUAGAGUGGGAAGGACCCUGGAGGUCAUCCACGUGGGGUGGCACCCGGGUUUCAUCUCAAAGGCUGAUGCCAGCUGAUUCAUAUAGCUUCUGGGAACACUGCGUGGAGAGGGAUUCAGAGGCCAUCUCUAGCUGGGCCAUGACCCACGAGGGGCACCGGGAAGUGCAGUGGAGGUAGCACGUGUUUGCCAUCCCUGACCUGGUCCCCCUUCAUCAGACAGACAAAAAACAUGAGGCCCCGAAGGAAGUGACACUUGUCCAAGGUGUUCAAGCUGCCAGGAGCCAGGCUGGGCUGGGAUUCAAGCUCUGUCCCUGGCCUCCCUGUCCUCCUUCUAAGAGAGCUCUGGUCUCUUAGAAGGGCCUGCAUCCCAGUGACACACCCCCUCCCAUCAGCUGAACCCUGGAAACCUCUGGGUUCCCUAGAGUACAGACAGGUCCCACACCAUGCCCCCAUCACCUUCACAGCCGGCCCUGUCAGCAGCCAUCCGGAAACCAGGCCCGCAGUCAGAGAUACAGCGGUAGGACCCCAGCAGGUUCACGCAGCGCUGUCCCUCUCGGCAGAGGUGGGCAUCCCCUGCACACUCGUCCACAUCUGCAGGGGCAGUGUGGGAAGACUGAACACAGCCUCCCAGGCCCUCCUCAGCACCCUGGCUCUGGCCCAGCCUACCCACGCUGCCCUGUUCCCAGGCUGAGAAGCCCUAGCAGUAAGGUCCUGAUCUCCCUCCCCAGCUCUUUCCAUCAUCCUGCGCGGGCCCUACCCCAAAACUCAGAGCCCACCCAAGGGACCUGCAGCUUCUAAUGCUAGGUUGCAGGCAAUGUCCCCUGGGGCACCCAGCCUUGCUGGUGAGAGUGAAGAGGUGCAGAUCAGGAGGCAGCACCAAGAAAGUCCCCUAGGGUCAGAUCUAUCACCCAGAAGCAUUGCUGAGGGGGACACACACAGCAUGCAGGGCAAUUGUACAAUGGCCCCCUUGCCAGCUCUCGCCUACUGAGACAAUGCUGAGUGUUGGGAAAGUGUCCAAGGCCGAGACCAGGCUCAGCAGCGUCCACUCACCUCUGCAGUUCCUGUCAUCCCAGGCCAAGGUGAAGCCGGCCGGGCAAGAACAGGAGAAGCGUCCAGGUGCGUUGAGGCAGGAGUGGGAACAGGGGCUCGGGCCGCCUGAGCACUCGUCCCUGUCUGGGGUGGGAAGGGGUCUGGUGGUCCCUGCUCUGGGGCUCUCCUGCCACCUGACUGAGACAGAUCACCCAGAGGCCUCCCAGGUCCAUGCGGGGACUUGGGGAACACUCACCCACACAGAAGUCUCCCUGGGAGUCCAACUCAAAGCCCUCAGGGCAGCCAACUUCGUUCUCCUCUGUGGGGUCAAGGGAUAUGUCCUAAGGACACAGACCCUCAAAGCUGCAUUGGCCAUAGCUGGGCUCACAGCUCUUUACUGCUGGCCUGGCCAGAUGGUGCCUCCAGUUGGGAACUGAGCCCAUCCUCAGCCAGGACACAGCCAGGAUGGUGCCAGCAAGUCAGUGAGCUUAUUCCCCACUCAGGUCCCUUGGCUGUGGGAUAUGCCUGAGGGGCUCCUCCUGGGGCUGGGCAGUAAGGCUGGGCAGGCCCAGGAUAAACCAUUAAAGUGAAACACAGGUGGUCCAUGCAUACAAAACUGUGCCCACAAGGGCCUAGCACUGCAUGAGGUGGGUGUGCAGAGGGGCUAGGGAGAGUGUGGAUGGCAGCAUGAAUAAGGUGGGUAGGGUUCAGCCCCUUUCCUCCCUGCCCAUGCUCAGCCUCUUGGCUAUUCUGGAGCCCAGACAGUCUAGUAAUUGUAGGGACAAUCACCCUUGACAAAGUGGUCUCUAGGUGCCAAGCUAGGGUUUUAGAGAUAGCAUCUCUGCUACCAGCACCUUGCAAGGUGGGCCAUGUCAUGUGCAGAUGGGAACACUGAGGCUCACAGACGGCCUGGGCAUUGACCCCAAGGUCCCACAGCCAGAAAGUGGGGCAGCUAGGAUUUGAACCAAGGUCUCCCUGACUACAAAGCUGUGCUCUUAUCACUAUGUCUUGUUUAAUGUCAAAAACCUUUUGGAUAGGUAUCCUUAGUAUGUCCUGGAUGAGAAUGUAAGGCAUGUUCAUGUGAGUCUCCAGGGGUUCUGACAGCGGCUCCGGGGUGGGGCCUCUGGUGCAGGCAUCCUGGGGUGAAGGGGGUGGGGUGUGGCUUGACCUUCACCUUGGGGUCUGGGGAAAGACUACAGAGGUUUGAACCGGAGUGGCCUGAAGAGCUAUGUCUCUGCGAGGGGUGUUGGUAGAUGGACAGGAGUGGGGACAGUUUGGAGGUAAGCAGAACAGAUGAGCUAUCUCAGUUCCCCUGUCUCUGGCCCCUGGUCAGAGAUGCAAGGGGAGGGGAUGGCCUUCAGCCAGGUGCAUUUUUGGUUGGGGCAGUGCAUGGUAGGGCAAAAGGGUGUGGGCCUCACCAGUCUGCAGGGCUGUGUCAAGCUGGAAGCGCAGGGCCUCGGCCUCAGGGUCGAAGGCCGUGCUGAUAGCUGAGGCCUGCAGGUGCUGCACCAGAUGGGGCUGGGGGCCCCGGGCUGCAGCGUACUGGAUGCUGUGGUUGCAGCGCAGGAACCCUGGGACGCUGCCUUGGAGGAAGCGCUGCGUAGAGCCCACAAACAGCUGGCCGGGCCCUGUCUGCACAUAGCGCUCCUGGAAAUCCUGGGGGAGGAAGAGGGGGAGGAGGAGGAUGCUGGGUUUCAACUCAGCCCCCACUCAGGGGGAGAACUGGGUGGGCCUCUCAGCUCUUCCUCCAACCUGCUGGGCAGCCUCGGGCAGUUCGCUUCGCUCUGUGCUCUUCUUGAUGGAAUGGGGAGAAUCCUCCUUCCCCGAGAAGCUGGGCUCAGAGUAUCCUCUCACUGGGCCCCCAGCUGAGCCUGUUAUAACCUGCUAGUCCUACCCUGAGUCCAAGACCAUGACCCAGCCUCUGUUGGGGUGUUAGAAGGGAAAGUGGGCCUAGCUGAUUGGGGGUGGUUGGGGACAGGCACUUCUCAUGUCUGCACACCCCAGGGCAUGACCCUUACCUGCACUUGAAGAUCUUCAUCAGCUAGGCUCUCAGGGACAAUGCCAUCAACCACCAUGUCGAGGAGCAAGAGGCCAUCUGGAUCCAGGCCCCGAGCCACCUGGGUCAUCCUGAGCAGCUCCCCUGCAACCCGCCCCACCCAGUCCCAAGUCACCAUAAGAAGAAGUCCUGCGCUCAGGCCUCAGGCCUACCCAGCCCAUCUGGGGGAAGACCUUACUCACCUGUAUCAAACUCCACAUGUGACUCCUGCCGGAAGCUGCCACCAGUCAGAGAGUGGCCAUUCAGGGCCUCCCCACUCUCUCCAGCCAGGGCCCAGUAGAUGGGGGAGAUAGUGACCACAAGCACCCGCAUCAGAGGCCCUGGGUGGGGCAGGGUCCAGAGGCCAGGUUAGGGCUAGAUUUUCAUGGUGGCCACUCUCCUGCUCUAGAUCCAUCUGUGGCUCCCCACUGCCCCCAGGGGAGCUCAGCCCCUUCCCUCCCUGCCCAUGCUCAGCCUCAUGACUACCUGUGCCAGUUACUUACCCAGAACCUGAGAAGUGGAGAAGGUAAAUAAUCUAUUUCACAGUUAUUGUAAAAAUUAUCAAAAGAAAUGUAUACAAAGAAAUCCAUGUGACUUGCUGAUAUUCAACUCAGUUCAGUAAAUACAGUUUGUGGACUCCUGGGUCACUGUGGAGCCUGGGACUCUAUGAACUGUCAUUACAUAUUUGCUGGGCUGAGUUGAAAAUUAACAAUAUUUCCUUCUGGAAGAGCCCAGGAGAGGAAGGAUUACUCUAAAUCACUUGCAAAAAGCCAAUGAAUUCCUGGACUCUCAAACUUUCA